rnacentral:tRNA from 1 species
AGGAUUCUAGUCUAAUUUAUGAUAGUAGUUUUAGGGGUUACAGGUUAAGGGGUUUCUUUAGGAUCUUU